AUCGAAUCUUGAAACGCAUAUUGCGCCCGCCAGUAUUCUGGCGGGCAUGCCUGUCCGAGCGUCAUUUCAACCCCUCAAGCCCCGCUUGGUGCUGGGGCCCCUACGUGCGCCGUAGGCCCCGAAUUCUAGUGGCGGGCUCGCCGCGAAACCGAGCGUAGUAGUAUUACCCUCGCUAAGGACGUCGCGGUGGGCGCCGGCCGUGAAAGAGAACGUGUUUACCAACACAGUGCAGGUUGACCUCGGAUCAGGUAGGAAUACCCGCUGAACUUAAGCAUAUCAAUAAGCGGAGGAAAAGAAACCAACAGGGAUUGCCCUAGUAACGGCGAGUGAAGCGGCAACAGCUCAAAUUUGAAAUCUGGCCUCGGCCCGAGUUGUAAUUUGCAGAGGAUGCUUUUGGCGCGGCGCCUCCCGAGUCCCCUGGAACGGGGCGCCACAGAGGGUGAGAGCCCCGUAUGGUAGGACGCCUAGCCUGUGUAAAGCUCCUUCGACGAGUCGAGUAGUUUGGGAAUGCUGCUCAAAAUGGGAGGUAAAUUCCUUCUAAAGCUAAAUACCGGCCAGAGACCGAUAGCGCACAAGUAGAGUGAUCGAAAGAUGAAAAGCACUUUGAAAAGAGGGUCAAACAGCACGUGAAAUUGUUGAAAGGGAAGCGCUCGUGACCAGACUUGCGCCGGGUCGAUCAUCCGGUGUUCUCACCGGUGCACUCGGCCCGGCUCAGGCCAGCAUCGGUUUUCGCGGGGGGAUAAAAGCCCGGGGAACGUGGCUCUUCCGGGAGUGUUAUAGCCCCGGGCACAAUACCCUCGCGGGGACCGAGGACCGC
rnacentral:rRNA from 1 species